GUUUAGUUACUCUACUGAAACUUGUUUUAAUAGAGGUUUUAGGUGCUGUUUAGUUACUCUACUGAAACUUGUUUUAAUAGGGGUUUUAGGUGCUGUUUAGUUACUCUACUGAAACUUGUUUUAAUAGAGGUUUUAGGUGCUGUUUAGUUACUCUACUGAAACUUGUUUUAAUAGAGGUUUUAGGUGCUGUUUAGUUACUCUACUGAAACUUGUUUUAAUAGAGGUUUUAGGUGCUGUUUAGUUACUCUACUGAAACUUGUUUUAAUAGAGGUUUUAGGUGCUGUUUAGUUACUCUACUGAAACUUGUUUACUAGGGGUUUUAGGUACUGUUUAGUUACUCUACUGAAACUUGUUUUACUAGGGGUUUUAGGUACUGUUUAGUUACACUACUGAAACUUGUUUUACUAGGGGUUUUAGGUACUGUUUAGUUACUCUACUGAAACUUGUUUUACUAGGGGUUUUAGGUACUGUUUAGUUACUCUACUGAAACUUGUUUUACUGGGGGUUUUAGCUACUGUUUGGGAGAAUAUAAUUUGGGACAAUAUAAUUAGAAAACUCUUAAACUGCUUGUUUAUGUUCAGAGUGGCUAGACAGUGUCUACAACAAGCAGUGUGCUCUUGUGCUCGGAAGUUGAACAUGUA
rnacentral:lncRNA from 1 species